AAAUCGGACUUACUUACGUAGUUAUAAAAUUCCACUAUAUGCUGGGAUCUCUCCCGAAUUCCGACGAGCAAUCGGUCGGACUGUGGAGACAAUCAGCAGGGAAGUCCGCCGAAUGCGGACCCCUCAACGACUACACGUGGAAAUCGCUGAUGAAGCGAUAUGAUAUAGUCUGACCUGCAUGGCGAUAUGCAG
rnacentral:ncRNA from 1 species